GUGAGGAAUAUUGGUCAAUGGGCGGGAGCCUGAACCAGCCAAGUCGCGUGAAGGAAGAAGGAUCUAUGGUUCGUAAACUUCUUUUGCAGGGGAAUAAAGUGCAGGACGUGUCCUGUUUUGUAUGUACCCUGAGAAUAAGGAUCGGCUAACUCCGUGCUAGCAGCCGCGGUAAUACGGAGGAUCCGAGCGUUAUCCGGAUUUAUUGGGUUUAAAGGGUGCGUAGGUGGUUUGAUAAGUCAGCGGUGAAAGUUUGCAGCUUAACUGUAAAAAUGCCGUUGAAACUGUCGGACUUGAGUGUAAAUGAGGUAGGCGGAAUGCGUGGUGUAGCGGUGAAAUGCAUAGAAAUCACGCAUAACUCCGAUUGCGAAGGCAGCUUACUAAGCUACAACUGACACUGAAGCACGAAAGCGUGGGGAUCAAACAGGAUUAGAAACCCGGGUAGCC
rnacentral:rRNA from 1 species